UACGUAGGAGGCAAGCGUUGUCCGGAAUUACUGGGCGUAAAGCGCACGUAGGCAGCUUUCUAAGUCGGGGGUGAAAUCCUGGAGCUCAACUCCAGAACUGCCUUCGAUACUGGAAAGCUCGAGUCCGGGAGAGGUGAGUGGAACUGCGAGUGUAGAGGUGAAAUUCGUAGAUAUUCGCAAGAACACCAGUGGCGAAGGCGGCUCACUGGCCCGGUACUGACGCUGAGGUGACGAAAGCGUGGGGAGCAAACAGG
rnacentral:rRNA from 1 species